GCUUCCGUGGCACAGUUGGUAGCGCGCAUCCUUGGUAAGGAUGAGGUCGGCGGUUCAAGUCCGCUCGGAAGCU
rnacentral:tRNA from 1 species